UACGUAGGGUGCAAGCGUUGUCCGGAAUUAUUGGGCGUAAAGAGCUCGUAGGCGGUUUGUCGCGUCGGCUGUGAAAACUCGGGGCUCAACCCCGAGCCUGCAGUCGAUACGGGCAGACUAGAGUGCUGUAGGGGAGACUGGAAUUCCUGGUGUAGCGGUGAAAUGCGCAGAUAUCAGGAGGAACACCGGUGGCGAAGGCGGGUCUCUGGGCCACUACUGACGCUGAGAAGCGAAAGCAUGGGGAGCGAACAGG
rnacentral:rRNA from 1 species